UUUUCAAGCACAUGGGGGGAUGAAUGAGUACACCAGUUUAUAUACAAGAUAAGAUAAAGAGAUAACAGUAACAAAGGUGGGGAAACAAAGCAUGACAGAAAGGUACAUGAUGAGCUACAAUAGCAUGAUGAUGAGCUUAGAUAACAUGAAUGAGAUGAGCUACUAUGAGAUGAUG